rnacentral:rRNA from 1 species
CUCAGGAUGAACGCUAGCUACAGGCUUAACACAUGCAAGUCGAGGGGCAGCGGGAUUGAAGCUUGCUUCAAUUGCCGGCGACCGGCGCACGGGUGAGUAACGCGUAUCCAACCUUCCGUACACUCAGGGAUAGCCUUUCGAAAGAAAGAUUAAUACCUGAUGGUAUGAUGAGAUUGCAUGAUAGCAUCAUUAAAGAUUUAUCGGUGUACGAUGGGGAUGCGUUCCAUUAGGUAGUAGGCGGGGUAACGGCCCACCUAGCCAACGAUGGAUAGGGGUUCUGAGAGGAAGGUCCCCCACAUUGGAACUGAGACACGGUCCAAACUCCUACGGGAGGCAGCAGUGAGGAAUAUUGGUCAAUGGACGAGAGUCUGAACCAGCCAAGUAGCGUGAAGGAUGAAGGUCCUACGGAUUGUAAACUUCUUUUAUAAGGGAAUAAACCCUCCCACGUGUGGGAGCUUGUAUGUACCUUAUGAAUAAGCAUCGGCUAACUCCGUGCCAGCAGCCGCGGUAAUACGGAGGAUGCGAGCGUUAUCCGGAUUUAUUGGGUUUAAAGGGAGCGCAGACGGGUCGUUAAGUCAGCUGUGAAAGUUUGGGGCUCAACCUUAAAAUUGCAGUUGAUACUGGCGUCCUUGAGUGCGGUUGAGGUGUGCGGAAUUCGUGGUGUAGCGGUGAAAUGCUUAGAUAUCACGAAGAACUCCGAUUGCGAAGGCAGCACACUAAUCCGUAACUGACGUUCAUGCUCGAAAGUGUGGGUAUCAAACAGGAUUAGAUACCCUGGUAGUCCACACGGUAAACGAUGGAUACUCGCUGUUGGCGAUAUACUGUCAGCGGCUUAGCGAAAGCGUUAAGUAUCCCACCUGGGGAGUACGCCGGCAACGGUGAAACUCAAAGGAAUUGACGGAA